rnacentral:rRNA from 1 species
ACGAACGCUGGCGGCACGCUUAACACAUGCAAGUCGAACGAGAGAAGAGAAGCUUGCUUUUCUGAUCUAGUGGCGGACGGGUGAGUAACACGUGAGCAAUCUGCCUUUCAGAGGGGGAUACCGAUUGGAAACGAUCGUUAAUACCGCAUAAUAUAAUUGAACCGCAUGAUUUGAUUAUCAAAGAUUUAUCGCUGAAAGAUGAGCUCGCGUCUGAUUAGCUAGUUGGUAAGGUAACGGCUUACCAAGGCGACGAUCAGUAGCCGGACUGAGAGGUUGAUCGGCCACAUUGGGACUGAGACACGGCCCAGACUCCUACGGGAGGCAGCAGUGGGGAAUAUUGCACAAUGGAGGAAACUCUGAUGCAGCGAUGCCGCGUGAGGGAAGAAGGUUUUAGGAUUGUAAACCUCUGUCUUUGGGGACGAAAAAUGACGGUACCCAAGGAGGAAGCUCCGGCUAACUACGUGCCAGCAGCCGCGGUAAUACGUAGGGAGCGAGCGUUGUCCGGAAUUACUGGGUGUAAAGGGAGCGUAGGCGGGAUCGCAAGUCAGAUGUGAAAACUAUGGGCUUAACCCAUAAACUGCAUUUGAAACUGUGGUUCUUGAGUGAAGUAGAGGUAAGCGGAAUUCCUAGUGUAGCGGUGAAAUGCGUAGAUAUUAGGAGGAACAUCAGUGGCGAAGGCGGCUUACUGGGCUUUAACUGACGCUGAGGCUCGAAAGCGUGGGGAGCAAACAGGAUUAGAUACCCUGGUAGUCCACGCCGUAAACGAUGAUUACUAGGUGUGGGGGGACUGACCCCUUCCGUGCCGCAGCAAACGCAAUAAGUAAUCCACCUGGGGAGUACGACCGCAAGGUUGAAACUCAAAGGAAUUGACGGGGGCCCGCACAAGCAGUGGAGUAUGUGGAUUAAUUCGAAGCAACGCGAAGAACCUUACCAGGUCUUGACAUCGUAUGCAUAGCUCAGAGAUGAGUGAAAUCUCUUCGGAGACAUAUAGACAGGUGGUGCAUGGUUGUCGUCAGCUCGUGUCGUGAGAUGUUGGGUUAAGUCCCGCAACGAGCGCAACCCUUACUGUUAGUUGCUACGCAAGAGCACUCUAGCAGGACUGCCGUUGACAAAACGGAGGAAGGUGGGGAUGACGUCAAAUCAUCAUGCCCCUUAUGACCUGGGCCUCACACGUACUACAAUGGCUGUUAACAGAGGGAUGCAAAGCCGCGAGGUGGAGCGAACCCCUAAAAGCAGUCUUAGUUCGGAUUGUAGGCUGCAACCCGCCUACAUGAAGUCGGAAUUGCUAGUAAUCGCAGAUCAGCAUGCUGCGGUGAAUACGUUCCCGGGCCUUGUACACACCGCCCGUCACGCCAUGGGAGUCGGUAACACCCGAAGCCUGUAGUCUAACCGCAAGGAGGACGCAGUCGAAGGUGGGAUUGAUGACUGGGGUG